rnacentral:rRNA from 1 species
GUGAGGAAUCUUGCGCAAUGGGGGAAACCCUGACGCAGCGACGCCGCGUGCGGGAGGAAGGCCUUCGGGUCGUAAACCGCUUUUCUGGGGGACGAGUAAGGACGGUACCCCAGGAAGAAGUCCCGGCUAACUACGUGCCAGCAGCCGCGGUAAAACGUAGGGGGCGAGCGUUAUCCGGAAUCACUGGGCGUAAAGGGCGUCUAGGCGGCUCGGCAAGUCCUGUGUGAAAUCUCCUGGCUCAACUGGGAGGGUGCAUGGGAAACUGUCGAGCUUGGGACUCGGAGGGGGGUGCGGAAUUCCCGGUGGAGCGGUGGAAUGCGUUGAGAUCGGGAGGAACACCUGAGGCGAAGGCGGCACCCUGGCCGAGAUCUGACGCUGAAGCGCGACAGCGUGGGGAGCGAACGGGAUUAGAAACCCGGGUAGUCC